rnacentral:rRNA from 3 species
UGGGGAAUAUUGGACAAUGGGCGAAAGCCUGAUCCAGCCAUGCCGCGUGUGUGAAGAAGGUCUUCGGAUUGUAAAGCACUUUAAGUUGGGAGGAAGGGUUGUAGAUUAAUACUCUGCAAUUUUGACGUUACCGACAGAAUAAGCACCGGCUAACUCUGUGCCAGCAGCCGCGGUAAUACAGAGGGUGCAAGCGUUAAUCGGAAUUACUGGGCGUAAAGCGCGCGUAGGUGGUUUGUUAAGUUGGAUGUGAAAGCCCCGGGCUCAACCUGGGAACUGCAUUCAAAACUGACAAGCUAGAGUAUGGUAGAGGGUGGUGGAAUUUCCUGUGUAGCGGUGAAAUGCGUAGAUAUAGGAAGGAACACCAGUGGCGAAGGCGACCACCUGGACUGAUACUGACACUGAGGUGCGAAAGCGUGGGGAGCAAACA